rnacentral:rRNA from 1 species
UACGUAGGGUGCGAGCGUUGUCCGGAAUUAUUGGGCGUAAAGAGCUCGUAGGCGGUCUGUCGCGUCGGAUGUGAAAACUCGGGGCUCAACCCCGAGCCUGCAUUCGAUACGGGCAGACUAGAGUUCGGUAGGGGAGACUGGAAUUCCUGGUGUAGCGGUGAAAUGCGCAGAUAUCAGGAGGAACACCGGUGGCGAAGGCGGGUCUCUGGGCCGAUACUGACGCUGAGGAGCGAAAGCCAGGGGAGCAAACAGG